UGGGGAAUAUUGCACAAUGGGCGAAAGCCUGAUGCAGCGACGCCGCGUGAGGGAUGACGGCCUUCGGGUUGUAAACCUCUUUCAGCAGGGAAGAAGCGAAAGUGACGGUACCUGCAGAAGAAGCGCCGGCUAACUACGUGCCAGCAGCCGCGGUAAUACGUAGGGCGCAAGCGUUGUCCGGAAUUAUUGGGCGUAAAGAGCUCGUAGGCGGCUUGUCACGUCGGGUGUGAAAGCCCGGGGCUUAACCCCGGGUCUGCAUUCGAUACGGGCUAGCUAGAGUGUGGUAGGGGAGAUCGGAAUUCCUGGUGUAGCGGUGAAAUGCGCAGAUAUCAAGAGGAACACCUGCGGCGAAGGCGGGUUGCUGGGCCGACACUGACGCUGAGGCGCGAAAGCUAGGGGAGCGAA
rnacentral:rRNA from 1 species